CAUAGUAUAUCUGAGAUGUUGUAUGAUCGUCGGAUUGAAUUGCACGGUAACUCACCAUGGAAUGAUAUUUUGGUAUUCCAUCAAAUUUUAUAUCUUCUAAAUAGUCAUGAUACAUUAUUAGACGUCAAUCUUGACUUGUAGGUUCUCAUAAAUUAAAGAGUUUAAUUUAAAAAUUCAAUUAGAAGAAUUCUAAUUAAUUAUAAUGCAUGGACUGAAUAUAUCUUGGAUC
rnacentral:lncRNA from 1 species